CUCCCGGGGGUGGGGGCGCGGCGGGGCCGGUGGAGUCUCCUGGCCCCUGGGAACGCCCCGGUCUCCCGGCCUGGGGAGCGCCUGUCCCUUGAAGACCCUGAAACGGCGCCGCGUUUCCCAAGACCGAAAGCGGCCGCGAGCGGCUUCAUCCGGAGUCACUGCGGACCCCUCCAGACGCCGAGGGCGCGACGCGGGAGGAACGUGGGGCGGGUCCGGAGUCCGUGGGGAGCAGCGGGCUUUGAGGCCCUGAACCGGCACGUGCCGGGCGGGCGUGGGGGUCUCAGGAGGCAUUCCGGACCAACCCAGAGGAUGAGGAGACACCGCUGGAAGUUCCCGGCAGACGCAGUGCUGGGGGGCUUGCGUUUCUAGAAGGCUCUCCGGAGGGCUGAGGCGUGGCCCAGCGUGGAAAUGGACAAGCACCCCAGGUGUUUGUGGGAGUCCGGGCAGCCUUUGCUCAGGGCAUUUUCAGGAAUCCUGCUACGUGCCAGGCGCCCUCCUAAGCUCUGGGGCGGUGGAGCCCAACCUUUUUGGCACCAGGGUCUUGUUUGGUAGAAGACAGGGCGGUGAGAUGGUUGGGGGAUGAAACUAUUGCACCCCAGAUCAUCAGGCAUGAGAUUCUUAUAAGGAGGCCGCAGCCUGGAUCCCUGGCAAGCACGGUUCACAAUAGGGUUCACCGCCUAUGAGCACCUGAUGCCACCGCUCAUCACACGGGAGGCGGAGCUCCUGAUGCCACCGCUCAUCACAUGGGAGGCGGAGCUCCUGAUGCCCCCUUCAUCACACGGGAGACGGAGCUCCUGAUGCCACCGCUCAUCACACGGGAGGCGGAGCUCCUGAUGCCACCGCUCAUCACAUGGGAGGCGGAGCUCCUGAUGCCCCCUUCAUCACACGGGAGACGGAGCUCCUGAUGCCACCGCUCAUCACACGGGAUGUGGAUAUCCUGAUGCCACCUUCAUCACACAGGAGACGAGCUCAGGUGGUAACAUGAGCCAGGUGGAGCAGCCGUCAAUACAGAGGAAGCGUCACCUUCAUGCCAGUCACUCACCUCCUGCUGGGCGGUCUGGUUCCUAACAAGCCCUGGCCAUGGUUUUUAAAGAUCCUGGUUUGUGGAACCAGAGGUGGGAGUCACUGAGUCAGAAUGACCCUAACCAGCUGAGACUUAAAAGCCCUGGAGAACAAGUGAGCCGACCCGCUGAGAUGUGCCGAGGAAAGGAAUCUCACCGUGCGGGGGCCGGUUCAGAGCCUGCCAGGACUGUGAGAACCACCGCAGGAAGACGUCGUGUGCAGAAGGUCGCAAGGGGGGUGGCUUCUGGGUGGGAAUCUGCACGCCGCUCGCUGGCCUGCGGGCCCCCCAGGAUUGUUGAGACACUUGCUCUUCCGAACUGAGCCGGGAAUGCAGCCCGAAGUCGCCGUUGCAGACACUCAAGUCAGCCAUUUUAAUAAGCUGAUUUUUAGUUGUGAAAAAAAAGAAGAGCUGGGAGCUUCUGUCCUGCAAAGCCAGGAGAAUCUGCUGCAGUGCGAAAGACUGGAGGCCCUUCUGGGUGGGAGCUCCAGACAGAGUCUCAAAAAGAGUUGCCCAGGCUGGAGUGCAGUGGCAAGAUCACGGCUCACUGCAGCUGCCAACUCCAGAGCGCGAGCGAGCCUCCCACCUCCCACAGGGAGUCACAUUGAGAAAAUGGGUCCUCCAGAGCCAUUUCCACGUGGUUUGGGGCAGGCACAGAGCCUGUGCACACUCCCUCACGUGUGCGUCCCCGCGAGGACACCUGCGUCAUGCCUGGCUGGCAAGCUUCCCCGCCUUCUGGUGGCCUCAGCCCAAUUUUCUCUUGGAAACACUCCCUGCGCCCUGUCUGAGCAGCUUGGGUGUGGGGAUGUGUGUUGACUUUUGUGGAAACCUGAUAGAAGAGGACCCACCUCCACACUACGGCCUCUGGGCGGUGGGGAGUCCCUGGGGCCGUGAUGGCCGAUGGCUCUGGAAAGAGCCUUCCUGGAGCUGAAGCCACAGCAGAGAGCCGGAGAGCCGAGCCACAGCCAUCUGGACACGGACACCGUUUCUGUACUCGUCCUCCUGUGGCUGGACGCCGGGACUGUCCGCAGCCUCUGGCUGUCAUGAAUAAAACUGAUAUGAGCACUCUUUUGGAGCGCGUAUGUUAUAUUUUAUUUUUCUUGGGGUAAAUGCCUAAAAAUGGGAAUUGCUGGUCAUAGGGUAGUUGCCGCUCUUAAAGAAAUUUUCCAUUUUCCCCAGGUGGUAGAAUUUGCCCUCCCUGGUGCUCUGUGUCUGUGUUUUGUUUUGGACGGCCUGUGGGCGUCCAUUGUUAUCUGAGGGUGGUUUUUAUUUCCAUUUCUCUGAUGUUUUCUGUGUUAAGCGCUUUUCCGUGCACUUACUGGCUCUUCAUGUCUCCUCUGGGGGGUGUCUGUUUAAAUAUCCUGCCCAUACGUUUACUGGGUUAUUCUUUGAUUACUGGGUUGUACAAAUUCACCGUCUAAUCUACGUACACACCUUUGUUAAAUCCAUGUAUGGCAGAUUUUUUCUUCCUGGUCUAUCUUGGUUAUUUAUUUUCUUAACAGUGUCUUUUGAUGAGCAGAAGUUUUUCAUUUGCCGAUGUCUGCAAGGAGUUCCUCAAUGCUAUUAUGUUUUUCGGAGAACCGAAUUCUGGUUUUCAUGAUUUCCUCCAUGGUUUAUUUUCUAUUCUACUGAAUUCUGCUGCUGUCUCGAUCAUUUGCUUCCUCCUAGUACUCAGUGUUUAAUUUGCUCUUCUUUCUCUAGCUGCUUAAGAUGGAUGCAUAGAUGCACCUUCUUCUUUUAUUUUUCCACCUUCUUUUUCAUUUAUUUAUUGAGAC